AAAACCACUCAAGCAUGUUUGCUUGGACUUGGAGGAAGAGCGCGCCCUUGUGGCGGGUUCCCCUCUGAAAUAUAAUGGCGGAUGGUCCACGUGGACACCGACGUAGUAAGAGCAAUCUCUCGUCGUGGCCCUGUAUCAUCCCGCCCUCAAUCCCCAAUAACAAUCAUGG
rnacentral:misc_RNA from 1 species